UUAUGAAGAUGAUGAAAGUAUUGUAAAGAGUGAUGGAUGAUUCAUGUGAUCGUAAUUCAAAUACUCUUCGCUACGUUCUUUCUGAUUCAUGU